GGGGCCAGCAGGGGCAAAUGGGGGGCUUUCAGUCCAGGUGUCUGGGGGGCAACAAAGUGGGGCUGCCUCUGAUCUGCAGAAGUCAUUUUGGGGUCGGGCUGGACGUGACACUUGGGAAGUUAAAAGGCUUUACAGAUGGCAGACCGAUUUCUGUGCCAGCCGCAGAGAGGUUUACAACCCGGCCACUUUAUUAGGCACACCGCGCUAUUCAACGGCCACUUUAUUAGGUACACAUCAGUAAUCACCGGCCACUUUAUUAGGCACACCGCGCUAUUCACCGGCCACUUUAUUAGGUACAUCUUGGUAAUCACCGGCCACUUUAUUAGGUACACCUCGGUAAUCACCGGCCACUUUAUUAGGUACACCUCGGUAAUC